GACGAACGCUGGCGGCGUGCUUAACACAUGCAAGUCGAACGAUGAAGCCGGAGCUUGCUCUGGUGAAUUAGUGGCGAACGGGUGAGUAACACGUGACCAACCUGCCCCGCACCCCGGGAUAACGCAAGGAAACCUGCGCUAAUACCGGAUACUCCUUCCUUUGCGCAUGCAGAGGUCGGGAAAGCCCAGACGGUGCGGGAUGGGGUCGCGGCCCAUUAGGUAGACGGCGAGGUAAUGGCUCACCGUGCCAUCGAUGGGUAGCCGGGUUGGGCGACCGACCGGCCACAUUGGGACUGAGAGACGGGCCAGACUCGUACGGGAGGAAGCAUUGGGGAAUUUUGCGCAAUGGGGGAAACCCGGACGCAGCAACGCCGCGUGCGGGAUGACGGCCUUCGGGUUGUAAGCCGCUUUCAGCAGGGAAGAUAGUGACGGUACCUGCAGAAGAAGCUCCGGCUAACUACGUGCCAGCCGCCGCAGUAA
rnacentral:rRNA from 1 species